AAGUCGUAACAAGGUUUCCGUAGGUGAACCUGCGGAAGGAUCAUUAAUGAGAACAUGCCCCUUGGGCAUAUCUCCCACCCUUUGUCUACAAUACUCUUGUUGCUUUGGCGGGCCCGUCUUAUGGCCACCGGCUUCAGCUGGUCAGUGCCUGCCAGAGGAUUUUUAAAACUCUUUUAUCAUGUUGUCUGAGUCCAUAUAAAAAUAAUUAAAACUUUCAACAACGGAUCUCUUGGUUCUG
rnacentral:misc_RNA from 1 species